rnacentral:misc_RNA from 1 species
GAAACGUGCAAGAAUCACAAGAAGAUGUGUGCAAGACAGAAUCAAAUCAGUGCUUCCAGCAGAUUUCUGUAUGUUUGUCUCCUGGAGAAUUUCUUUUACAUGUUCCUUGUUGAAAAGUAUAUAUGAGCACUUCAUAGAAAGUGUGCCCAGGAAGUCGUAGAGCCGAUGCUUUUCACCAAGGAUCUUAAGCAGUUCAUCCCGAGAACUAGAAGCUCGAAUAGAGUUGCAGUUUGGAUCAAGGAGAACUGUUAAUAUCCUCCAGACAUUAGCAUCUUUUAACUGAUCAAGAAUCUGAAAGCUCUCUUCCGCCUUCCCAGGGUCAGUAAAACAACGAGACAUAAUGCGGAAGCAAAAUACAACUUUUUUUUGAAUCUCAGUGGCAUCGCCAUCCUGCUGCAUCUGCCUUAAAGAAAGAUACCUCCUCAUCUCUUGCUGCAACCUUUGUUUCUGCUCCAGCAGCUUCUCAAGUGCUCUAACCUCAACUUUGUCAAAACUUGAGAAAACCUUAACCCAGUUUUUAACUUUAUCCUUGACUGAGAAUUCAUUAGGGAACAAGGAUGAGCAUAGAAUGUGCUCCACGAUGUCCGACCUGAAAU